GAUGAACGCUGGCGGUAUGCUUAACACAUGCAAGUCGAACGGUCACUUCGGUGAUAGUGGCGGACGGGUGAGUAACGCGUGAGAAUCUGUCUUCAGGUCGGGGACAACAGUUAGAAAUGACUGCUAAUACCAGAUGUGCCUUUGGGUGAAAGAUUUAUUGCCUGAAAAAGAGCUCGCGUCAGAUUAGCUAGUAGGUGGUGUAAGAGACUACCUAGGCUCCGAUCUGUAGCUGGUCUGAGAGGACGAUCAGCCACACUGGAACUGAGACACGGUCCAGACUCCUACGGGAGGCAGCAGUGGGGAAUUUUCCGCAAUGGGCGAAAGCCUGACGGAGCAAUACCGCGUGAGGGACGAAGGCUUUUGGGUCGUAAACCUCUUUUCUCAAGGAAGAUGAUGACGGUACUUGAGGAAUAAGCAUCGGCUAACUCUGUG
rnacentral:rRNA from 1 species